AAUGCAUGAGUAUUUUAUUAAGUAUCUGAUUUAAAUUUUAAUUUUUAUGAUCGUUGAGAUCCGUGUUGUAUUUUUAGCUCUUAAGUGGUUCUACAUGUAAAUUUGAGUAAGAAAAAUAUUAAUAAUAAAUUUUAAAAAGAAAUUCUCAGUAGAAAAUGUUAGAAAUAUAAAAAUUUUUUAUCUAGGUAACUUAAAAGAAGUGGAAAAUGGCGUGCCAGCAGCCGCGGUUAUACUCCUGCUUCAAGUUAAAAAUUAUAUACAAAAUUAUGUUUAUAGUGAAUGAAUAUAGGAAUUUUUUAAUAUUAUUAGGUAGAAUUUUAAUUUUAAAGAAUAACAAAUCUUUAUAAACAUAAAAGUUAUAGUCGGGACCAGGAUUAGAUACCCUGUUACUUAUAAGUAAAAUAUUUUGGAAUAGUAGUUAUUAUGAAAUUUAACGGAUUUGGCGGCAAGAUAGCCAUUUAGAGGAACCUGCCCUAUAAACGAUGAUCCACGAUUUAACUCUACUUUUAUUUGUACUCAGUUUGUAUACCGCUGUUGUCAGUCAGUUUCUUCAGAAAACUUUCAUUCAUGAUUAGUAUCAUUGACUUCAAGUAAAGGUGCAGCUUAUAUAAAAGACAGAGGUGGGUUACAUUUAAUAGACUAAAACGGAUAAAGUUUAUGAAAAUAACUUUUGAAGGUGGAUUUAAUUGUAAAGUUUAUAAAAACUUGAUUUGAGCUCUAUCUUGUGUACACACCGCCCGUCGCUCUCUUUUUUAAACGAGAUAAGUCGUAACAAGGUAAGUGUAAUGGAAAUUGUACUUGA
rnacentral:ncRNA from 1 species